AUUGAACGCUGGCGGCAUGCCUUACACAUGCAAGUCGAACGGUAACGCGGGGCAACCUGGCGACGAGUGGCGAACGGGUGAGUAAUGUAUCGGAACGUGCCCAGUUGUGGGGGAUAACUGCUCGAAAGAGCAGCUAAUACCGCAUACGACCUGAGGGUGAAAGCGGGGGAUCGCAAGACCUCGCGCAAUUGGAGCGGCCGAUAUCAGAUUAGGUAGUUGGUGGGGUAAAGGCUCACCAAGCCAACGAUCUGUAGCUGGUCUGAGAGGACGACCAGCCACACUGGGACUGAGACACGGCCCAGACUCCUACGGGAGGCAGCAGUGGGGAAUUUUGGACAAUGGACGCAAGUCUGAUCCAGCCAUGCCGCGUGCGGGAAGAAGGCCUUCGGGUUGUAAACCGCUUUUGUCAGGGAGGAAACGCUCUGGGUUAAUACCUCGGGGUAAUGACGGUACCUGAAGAAUAAGCACCGGCUAACUACGUGCCAGCAGCCGCAGUAAGAC
rnacentral:rRNA from 1 species